CAGGAAAAUGGCCGCUGGUCCAGGGCUGACGGAAGCGUCCUUUGGAAUACUAAUUACUGUAAUAUCAAGUUUAAUCAAUGGGUCGACAUUUGUGCUUCAGAAAAAAGGAAUAAUGCGUUCACGAAACAGAGGAGGAUCCUAUCUCACUGAUGCAGUGUGGUGGAGUGGCACGCUGUGCAUGAUCACUGGUCAGACUGGGAACUUCCUGGCUUACAAUGUGGCCCCUGCUGUGUUAGUCACACCAUUAGGCGCC